rnacentral:rRNA from 1 species
GACGAACGCUGGCGGCGUGCUUAACACAUGCAAGUCGAACGACGUGGCGAACGGGUGAGUAACGCGUAAUCAACCUGCCCUUCGGAGGGGAACAACAGUUGGAGACAACUGCUAAUACCGCAUACUUAAGGCAGGGCGUGCGUCUGCUUAGCUAGUUGGAGGGGUAACGGCCCACCAAGGCGAUGAUCAGUAGCCGGGCUGGGAGGAGGAACGGCCACAUUGGGACUGGGACAAGGCCCAGACGCCUACGGGAGGCAGCAGUGGGGAAUCUUCCGCAAUGGACGAAAGUCUGACGGAGCAACGCCGCGUGAGGGAGGACGGCCUUCGGGUUGUAAAGCUCUGUUAAGCGGGACGCGGUACCGGAAUAGAAAGCCACGGCUAACUACGUGCCAGCAGCCGCGGUAAUAC